GGGUGUAGCUCAGUGGUAGAGCGCUUGCCUAGCAUGUGCAAGGCCCUGGGUUUGAGUCCUAGCACUGCA
rnacentral:tRNA from 1 species